rnacentral:rRNA from 1 species
UACGGGGGGGGCAAGCGUUGUUCGGAAUUACUGGGCGUAAAGGGCUCGUAGGUGGCCAACUAAGUCAGACGUGAAAUCCCUCGGCUUAACCGGGGAACUGCGUCUGAUACUGGAUGGCUUGAGUUCGGGAGAGGGAUGCGGAAUUCCUGGUGUAGCGGUGGAAUGCGCAGAUAUCAGGAGGAACACCGGUGGCGAAGGCGGGAUCCUGGGCCAGUACUGACGCUGAGGAGCGAAAGCGUGGGGAGCAAACAGG